GGGAGCCGGAUGAAUCGCGAGGUUCACGUCCGGUUCUGAGAGAGCGCGGGGCUGCAAUGCCCCGCACCACUCACC
rnacentral:ncRNA from 1 species